GAGACAGUGACCUCGCUGGGAUUCCCCCUUCCCAAACCUGAGCUGAUCAGCCAGCUGGAACGAGGGGAAGAGCCGUGGGUGGCCGAUCUCCAGUCCUGUGAGGGAAGAGAGAUCCCGAGAGGUGCCCACACAGCAGGUGACGAGAUAGUGAGUGAGAACGAGGAGGGGAAUCAAGAGAAGGAAGUUCCUGGGCACGGAGAAUCACAGGGGACCUUUUUGGGAAGAGCUGAAGGGAAUUUUUCCCAGUGCUUGGAACAGGGAGACGAUGGGGAAAAUUGGCGGAGGUCAGAUAGGCUUCCGGGAAACCACUCAAGGAAGCAAAUGGAUAAAUCUAUUAUAUGUGGAGAAGGACACAGCUAUCCCACAGCCCGACAGACAACCUCCAAGAAAGACAAAAGCUAUGAAUGUCUUGGUUUUGGGAAAGGAAUCGUUCUGAGACCACAGCUUGUUCCGCUUCAGGAAAUCCAAACUGGAAAGAAAUCACUUCAAUGCUUGGACCAUGGGGAAAGCUUCAGUAAGCGGUCAGAUCUUAAUAACCAUGAGAGGAGCCACACAGGAGAGGGACCCUCUCAGUGCCUUGAGGGCAGGAAUUGUUUAAAUUUGAAGUCAACCCUGAUUACACAUCAGACAGUCCAGACUGGAGAGAGACCCCAUAAGUGCUUAAUCUGUGGGAAAAGUUUCCUAUGGAGGUCAGGCCUACUUAAUCAUCAGGCAAUCCACACUGGAGAGAGAUCCCAUAAGUGCUUAGAGUGUGGAAAAAGUUUCAUACAGAAGUCACACCUUGUUGUACAUCAGGUAAUCCACACUGGAGAGAGACCCCAUCAGUGCUUAAUCUGUGGGAAAAAUUUCAUACGGAGGUCAACCCUUCUUACACAUCAAGCAGUCCACACUGGAGAGAGAUCCCAUAAGUGCUCAAUCUGUGGGAAAAGUUUCCUAUGGAGGUCAAGCCUUGUUUUUCAUCAGAGAAAACACACAGGAGAGAGACCGCAUAAGUGCUUAGAGUGUGGAAAAAGUUUCAUAGACAGGUCAGACCUUGCUAAACAUCAGAUAAUCCACACUGGAGAGAGACCCCACAAGUGCUUAGACUGUGGGAAAAGUUUCAUAGAGAGGUCAGACCUUGCUAAA